UUGUAAGGACAAUUUAAAUGAACUUCUCAUUCUCAAUAAGGAGAAAGUAUGUAGAUGCGGAAACCGAUUAAACUAUUCUUAUGAUGCAGAGGACGAUCUGCUUUACCCAGAAAAUCCUUGUUCAACGUACGAACAAUUCACUGAUCUUGAAAAAAGGUUGGCGGAGCAAAGGAACGCUACGGCUUUCACGAAUUCUGUGAAGAAUAGAGGUGGAAAGAAUACUCCUAUCGCAGUGAGACUAGAAAUACAAAGAAUUAUGACAAACGAAUUGUGCCUUCAGUUUAGUUGGGCAGGAAAAAGUAAUAGCGGGAAACGUAAGAGGACUUUUUGAACCAACGACUGUUCGUAAACUGUUUGUGGAAAUGAUUUUAUCAUGCAGACGAGGCAAGAGGAUGCAUUUUUUAAGUCGUCAAAAUAAUGUUUCAUCACUUACUUUCAUGCUUUAUUAUUUCUUUUUAUUCUUUA